UUUUGAAAUAUAAGAAAAACACUAAGGUUUGUAACUAAACUACUUAACAACUCUUAUUUUAAAAGAAAAAAAACAAUAAUGUAAAUGUAAUGAUGUAAAUUCAUCUUGUUACUUUGAUAUGUUUCUGGAUUCUGGUAUCAAGAUCGGAGUACUAGUGAAUUCGAAUGGCUCAACAAAUUCUCAUUCAAGAUUCAUGGAAUACUUUAUCCAAUUCAAUUGUUAUGUUUGGUAUUUCUGUUCCUAUUUUACAAUAUCAAAUAAAUUUAUGGUUUCAUGACAGAAGCUAUUUAGAGCCUAUUUCAUUCAUAUUAUAAAUUGAAGUGAUAUCAAAGCCACUCACUGAUAGAGAUUAAAAUUAAUAGGAUCAAUGAAGUUAUUUAUGAAAGUUAUAUGAAGCUGAGCAUUCCUGAGCCGAACUGUGGUCUACAGUAAAUAAGUAAAAUUGUAUGAAUCAAACAUUAAAUUACAACUUAAAUUGUAUGAAAAGAUGGAUUUUCGAUAACCGUCGUUCCUCCAAUAACUCAACAAGUGAAUUGGAAGAUUAAUCAAACGAGCGCAAAGGGGAUGAGGGCUUGGAGAGGGCACGUUUUGGCGAGAGAGGCGCGACUGAAAUAUAUGGACGCAAUGAAACCCAAGCGAAGUUAAUGUACGACCGACAACAAUGUUAGCAUCUCACACAUUUAAGCACACGAUGUCGACGCUGACUUUGGAUAUGGUGGCUGGCAGGCAAUUGCCUCAAUUACUCCCCAUGGGUGUUCGGACUGACGUAACAUGGUUUCCAAUUUCUGCCAGGUUAUUCAUUCAUCACGGACGCCGUCAUGCACAGAGAGAACGACGACGCCGCCGCCUCAAAUGCUGGAACCCCCCAAAUGAUUGAUCGUUUACUUCGGAAAUUAACGGUCGUCAACUGAUGCGUUAAUAUGCCUAUCGAUUAAGAAGUCAAAAUUAAAUGGAGAAAUACAAUAACUUGCAAUAUGGAUCAUGUCAGACCAAAAAGAAGAGCUACACAAAAGCUAGACACUGAAGAGUUAUUGAUCACAACCCAAUAAAGUUCUUCGACAACGUAAAAUGUUAAACAGCUCUAAAUGCCAGCAGGAAAGAAAAAUAGAUUUUCAGAAUUGCGUUUAAAUAUGACGAGAGGUUAAGGAUAAAUUCUUAAUGCCGUCAUUUAACCCUCGAAACCGAGCUUCGGUCGACCGGGGGAAUAAUCCUGAAUUAAUUGAGGGAAAACCCGUGUUUGAACAGCAGCGUCUCCUUCGUAUCUGGGCCAGGAUCGAAGUAGUUUCAAAGUGACAAUGUGAUCGUAUUGAAUCGAUUUUUGAAUAAAGUACGCGCUACCUCAUUAUUCCCGAUCCACUGUGGUCGUCUCCAAUCGAAGAGAACCUUCAACACACCGAGGGGUUAGUUAGAGGGAUAAAGAACUUUUUUUAAGACAAAAAAAGCCACCCUGUCGUCGGUCUUUCCGACGUAAAACGCAAAUUGGAUGGCAAUCUCAUUAGUGUAAAGGCAGGCCUUUCACCAUUCGAGCGAACCGCUUGCUAUCCAAUUAAGAAAUUCAUUUCACGCGAAAAAAGUACCUAUAUCGAUGUAUGUCAAUUCGGUGAAUCCCACAAAAACGUUUCUAACAUAUUUCGAAUAAAAUUAAAAAAGAAUUAAGCGAAAAAGGUAGGGUGACAAGAAAAUAAAUGGUGAGUGCACAACAGCAUCUACAACGACGCGACGUCGACGGUGUUAAAAUUCCCGAAACAAAGUGCGUCAAGUCAAGAAUUUCCCAACUAUUCGCAAUUUGCCGCCCCACUAAUUAGCGAGAUUACACGGAAAAGAGCUCCCCCCCCCCCUACACUUCAUCUCCCCCCAUCUGUGACAAAUCGUUUCUCGCUUCCCCUUUCCGUUACGUCACUUCAAUGCCGAACUUCGCCUUCACAACCUCCAAAGAGAGAAAACGAGUGGGGCACCAAAGGGAAUGUUGGGCAAGGAAGGGAUGAAAAUCACCGUUAUUAGGUGUAAGUGGGGAAACGUUGAUUGCUCUAAAAUUUCUGCUAAAUAUCAAAAAUCAAAAAAAAAAAAAUUUGAUUCUUUUCUGAGAAUCGAUGUGGGAUCGUGUUUAACAAAUUUAAUCAUUAGGUCAAACGAGAAAAACUAGAACCUACCCCAACCAUCUCGUAAAUGUAUUGAGAGGGGGCGUUGUAUGCAGUUGCAUGCUGUGACCUGGAUACUAGAGAGAUUGUUGCGCUGGUCCGAACAGAACACCGUUCUACGUGGGGGGGUUGAAGAGACGAGGGAAACACUCCCCACCUAUAUUCGAAUAAAACAUCAUUCUCGUCGAAAAAUCCCUCUUUGAAGUGAACGCUAUACGUCUCCCGGUGGCGCUUUCUAAUUACUCGUCGCUUUGGGCAGAGGGUGGUUUAUCCCCCGAAAAGGGUAAGAGAAGAGGAACGCGUUGAAACCUUGGGGAGUUACUAAAACCCCGCUGGAUUGUGGGUCGUCCUCUUGGAAAGACGUGCUUCCAACUGAAAGGGCGAGAUUUUUUAUGUAAAUCCGAUAUGGUGACGAUAUUCAGGAACAUGACCCAAAAAAAAGUCAUUUUAAAAGUAUUAUCUCCUCAAACGAUUAUGUUCUUCUUAAAUGGAUUUACUACAUAAUAGCUUCCUAGUACCCAAUUGGAAUUCCUUGGGAGUAGGGGAGCACGAUUUCACUUUCACCCAUUUACCCUAAUCGAUAGCAGCCACCCCACAGAAGAAUAUAGCCCAAAUUUAGUUCCAUUACGUUCGAAAACUUAAUCUCCAAUGGUGGUCACGUAAGGGAUUCGUGAGAAGAUUUUCGAUGAAUCUCAGAGGAAACUCAUUCCACGGUUUGUAAUUCAAUUUUUAUUUAAAUCUAUGUACACAAAAUAUUCAACAGAUAUUUAGAAACAAAGAUCUGAAAUUUUUAUCAUUUCCCCAUUUUUAACCAAAGCACGAAACGUAUAUUCAAAUAUUUAUUCAAAACUGAAUAUAAAAGAGUAAAUGUUAUUAAUAAUAAGUGUUGGGUGAUUUAUUGGAAGCAGUAACAUUCAUGUUCCAUAUUCAUGUUCCAACAGGAUAACACCCGACCUCAUAUCGCCCACAUGUGUCAGAACUUCCUACACGAAGAAGAAGUACAAGAAGUACCCUGGCCUGCUCGCUCAAGCAGCAAACACCUUGCAGGAACUUCAUCGUUAUCUACAGCAAGCCUGGGAUGAGAUUCUAUAAGAUAUUUCAGAACAUGCCUCGCAGAAUUAAACAGUGCAUAAACAAUCGUGGGAUGUAACAUUUUAUUGACAUAAAUUGUUGGUAUUUUUUUUUAAUUACUUGUAUAAAUUUCAGCUUUUUGAUUCAGCUCUUUCGAAGUGUUGCAAUUUUUUUGACACGUAGUUUAUUUAUUGAACUAGAACUACCCAUGCGUGACGUCACGAUCGGGCCGUCGAGCUGUGCACCUUCGUAUUGUGCAAUAAUACAAGAUAUAGAACUUAGAUGGUUAAGUAUCAGUUAAUUGGAACUUUCUUUAUCGAAGGAAAUUUAACAGCUGAUACUACUUAGGUAUGUAGUUGAUUCAAUAAGUCUACAUUACAGCUCAUUUUGGCUGUUAAAAAAGUUCGGCGUUAUCUAAAGCAUUUGCAGGAUAAUGGAUUAGUAAUAUUGGAUGAGUCACCUAAUCUCAAUCCUAAAGACUACUUUUAUCGAGCAUACUUAAAAAGUCGAGUUUAUGAAACUAAUCAUGAAAGUGUUGCAGAGUUAAGGCAACGAGUUAUCAAUAAAUCACGAUUAAUUUCCGUACUGCAUCGAUGAGAGUAUGUUAAAUUAACAACACAACAUAAUGAACGCUUAAUGAAGUAGACGUUAUGUAUUUUAGCAAUUUAGUUGUUUAAAUUAGUUAUAAUACAGUUGGGCUGCAUUUAAAAUUUGAUUGAAUUCGUAUUGAAACAUAAAUUCUAAUUAUAAAACUAUAUACAAGGUGUUACAUUUAAAAAUUCAAAAUGAUUAGAAUAGUAUCAAGUGAGAAAGCAAACUUAUUGGAUUUGUCCCCCACAAAUACGCCAAAACUGAAGUAUAUUGGCUUGGAUUCUUAAUAAUUCAUCUUCAUUACCAUAUUACCAUAUUGCCAUAUUACCAUGUUACCAUAUUACACGAAGCAAGGUUAAUGAAAUGGAAAUUAAACUAUUUCUGAUUUAAAAACAAACAAUUCAAUUAUAAUAUUAGAUAGACCGUGAUUUUAGAUUUGAAUCGUGUGUGUAAUGAGUCCGUAAUCGACGAAUAACGUCCUCCGGGCUUUGAAACUAAUGGAUUUCCGAUAACAUUGUAAUGAGGUAAUUCCCCAAUUAUUGUUAGGUGGAGUCCACGAUCUGCAUCAUACCUGCAAAAUUUCAUUACCCUAUCAAUCGGCGAUUCUUGUCUAUCGCGACAUCCACCUUUAAAGCAGAAAGGGCGUUCAAUUUUAUUGGAACUUCUGCGGCAAAUUUAUAUCGGAUAAUCGGAUUAUUCCGAUUUCCAUAGUACUCGAAAACAUAUCCCGUCUUGAGAAAUAACAUUUCAAGUUUUGUUUUGUAAUUCGUUGUGAACCUAUGUUAACUGGGGAUAAAAUUUAAACAAAAGCGUUCAUACAGGUUCCGCAGCUCGGUCCAGCCCUUGUCACAUACCGUGUCAAUCAAUAUUUCGGCGGCGGUGGCACACGUGUACGUGUCCAUUGUGUCACGGGUGUGCUUCGUAGAAUGGACCUCGGUUUAAUUCACAUGCCAUGGACAUAGUGUAGGCGGGGAGAGAAACUUGCGUCAUCCUCCACUGAUUUUAAUGUUGCAUAAUGAUAAUGUUUUUUUUUAGAUUAUCAAAUUAGUAUCAUAUUAAUAGCUUUCUUUUGGUACGAUUAAUCAAUACAAGAAAAUUAUACGCUAUGUGGUGUAUAGAUUUCACGUAGUAGGAUAAAUCGGGACCGAACAGAACAGCUUCCGGGAAGUGCACAAACCCUGGGGCCAGUCCAAUAUUGCGCAUUGUAAUUAAUUAUUGAUCGGCACGCUGCAAUUCCGAACGACGACGACACCUCUAAACAAGUACAAAAGAAGAAACCGUGAAGUUAUUGACUUAGCUUUAAUUAUUAGUGUGUUGGUACAUUUUAGUUAUUAUCAUAACCCUCUCGUAACAUUAUAUCAAUAUUUCAAUUAACACUUCGCAGAGAUAUUCCAUGUAUAUUUAGGGAUAAAGCCUUAUACGUCCAGUAAUUAUUAGCGUAGUGUAUAUGUGUCGUAAUUGCUGCGGAUAAGCUAACCCAGUUUCAAUAUAAACGGUUUGAGGAGAGAUAUAGAUGAGAGUUAUUUCUCGCUGCGUCGACACAAAGUGUUUAAUAAUUAUCAGAACGAUUGAUUCGAAUCAAUGCAUCCCUAAGCCUACUUCAAUAGAAUUCCGUGAACUAUUCCAACCCUGUUUUACCCAUACAACCUAUUCGGUGUAUUUUGAGUAGCGAGGUAUUGUCAAUAGUGCAUACCUAAUGUUCGAUUAAAGUCCUUCAGAACAACAACUACACCAGUAACAGAUGUAUAAGUGGAAUUCGUACAUAUACAAUAAAUACAUACAUGUUGUAAGUUGUAUUUACUUAAAGAUAGUUCUUAAUUUUGGUUGUUUGUUUAUUUUAAAUCUUAAUCGUGGUAACAGUUUUUGAUUUAGUUUCGAGAGUUUCUUUUCGACACGUCUUCACGUGUACUUUUUCAAGUCCUCCGGGCGUUGAUUGCCCGAGAAAGUAAACUUGGCGAGAUUACGGCGAUUUCGACGAGCUCGAAAUGGGAAUUCCUACGGGAAAGUUAGCCGGGAUUGUCUCGUUUGAGAAUUUAAAGGCGAAAGAAAGCGAACGAGAGACAGCGCCGCGUCGAACACGAAAAUAAAGUCGCCCCAUUGCCAAUUAAAUUACGAAUUUCACGGACGCUUUUCCGCUUUUCUCUUUACAAUUGCACAUCUUUUUAUUUUCUCAAUGUA